rnacentral:rRNA from 1 species
CUACGGGGGGCACCAGUAGGGAAUAUUGGACAAUGGGGGCAACCCUGAUCCAGCGAUGCCGCGUGUAUGAAGAAGGCCUUCGGGUUGUAAAGUACUUUCAGCGGGGAGGAAGGGAGUAAAGUUAAUACCUUUGCUCAUUGACGUUACCCGCAGAAGAAGCACCGGCUAACUCCGUGCCAGCAGCCGCGGUAAUACGGAGGGUGCAAGCGUUAAUCGGAAUUACUGGGCGUAAAGCGCACGCAGGCGGUUUGUUAAGUCAGAUGUGAAAUCCCCGGGCUCAACCUGGGAACUGCAUCUGAUACUGGCAAGCUUGAGUCUCGUAGAGGGGGGUAGAAUUCCAGGUGUAGCGGUGAAAUGCGUAGAGAUCUGGAGGAAUACCGGUGGCGAAGGCGGCCCCCUGGACGAAGACUGACGCUCAGGUGCGAAAGCGUGGGGAGCAAACAGGAUUAGAUACCCCCGUAGUC